AGAGGCAAAAAGCCAGAGCAACACACGCAUGGGUUGGUAGCUGAGCAAGUUAGGAUACUGAGAACAUGGUACACUAACGCUCUAGAGUCGAUAAAUGCAGGGUAAAACGGAAAAUUUCUGCCCUGAAAGCUCUGAGCAAGCAGUGGCCCUUUCAGCAGACUCAUUUCCACACCUAGAGAAUAGCUGUGCUACUCUGCAAAUCAGCAGGUUGUAGCCUGCAUUGAUCUUCUUUGGGGCUUGCUACAAGACUUGCAACUAUAAGCACAGGGGUUCCUUAUUGAGGAUGUGUACCCUAUUCCUGCGUGGGCUGUGGAUGCUUCUCUGGUGCUGGAGCUGCGUGGCAUGCAUUUGACCACAAUUACUGUAAAGAAGCUGUCCACUCAUUACUGCAAGCUCUGGGGAAAAGGAGGAGUGACAGAAUAUAGACUGAUAUCGGAGAGGUCGGUGUGUGGCAUCCUUGUGUACAUGCCACCCCUGGAGCAGGAUCACGGAGUAGGAUGUGUUUGCCACAUGCCUGAUCUGCGUUGCUGAAUAAGCCUCCAGUGCAGAGGGUUCAGUCUUUUGGAACUUGAAUUAAUCUUGCUGUUUCAUCUUGAAGCUCGCGCAUGUGUGCAUGUCUUUUAAAUGUAAGUAUGUCUAUAGGAAGGUCUCUUGGGACAUGAAUGGCUUCAAUUGUUGGAAAUUCCUAUGUACUUUGUUU
rnacentral:lncRNA from 1 species